GUCGGAAUUGCUAGUAAUCGCGGAUCAGCAUGCCGCGGUGAAUACGUUCCCGGGCCUUGUACACACCGCCCGUCACACCAUGGGAGCCGGUAAUACCCGAAGUCAGUAGUCCAACCUCGUGAGGACGCUGCCGAAGGUAGGAUUGGCGACUGGGGUGAAGUCGUAACAAGGUAUC
rnacentral:rRNA from 1 species